CGAGCUAGCUGUGGGCAGAGGCUGGCUGCGGGCAGAGGGUGCAGACGAGCUAGCUGUGGCAGGGGCUGGCUGCGGGCAGGGGGUGCAGACGAGCUAGCUGUGGCAGAGGCUGGCUGCGGGAAGAGGGUGCAGACGAGCUAGCUGUGGCAGAGGCUGGCUGUGGCAGAGGGCGGCUGCGGGCAGCUGCAGCAUGGACUGGCUGUGGGCAUGGGGGGCAGGU